rnacentral:rRNA from 1 species
AUCGGAAUAAAAACUUUCAACAACGGAUCUCUUGGUUCUGGCAUCGAUGAAGAACGCAGCGAAAUGCGAUAAGUAAUGUGAAUUGCAGAAUUCAGUGAAUCAUCGAAUCUU